rnacentral:rRNA from 1 species
AUUGAACGCUGGCGGCAUGCUUUACACAUGCAAGUCGAACGGUAACAGGCCUUCGGGUGCUGACGAGUGGCGAACGGGUGAGUAAUGCAUCGGAACGUGCCCAGAUGUGGGGGAUAACGCAGCGAAAGCUGUGCUAAUACCGCAUGUGAUCUGAGGAUGAAAGCGGGGGACCAGGCAGCAAUGUUUGGCCUCGCGCCUUUGGAGCGGCCGAUGUCAGAUUAGGUAGUUGGUGGGGUAAAGGCCUACCAAGCCGACGAUCUGUAGCUGGUCUGAGAGGACGAUCAGCCACACUGGGACUGAGACACGGCCCAGACUCCUACGGGAGGCAGCAGUGGGGAAUUUUGGACAAUGGGCGCAAGCCUGAUCCAGCAAUGCCGCGUGCGGGAAGAAGGCCUUCGGGUUGUAAACCGCUUUUGUACGGAACGAAAAGGCUCUGGCUAAUACCUGGGGCUGAUGACGGUACCGUAAGAAUAAGCACCGGCUAACUACGUG